rnacentral:tmRNA from 1 species
GGGCUGGUGCUUGUGGCCGCACUGCACUAUAGUGCUUGGGCCGGGUUUACCCGGCUAUGGCGCUAAACGUCUUGUGGAAUAGGCCUUGCGGACCCGGGGGCGGUACCCGGCGCCUCCACCAAAACUCCGAGGUUAUGAUCGGACAAUGGGGGCGAAAUAGGAUCGACGCGGGUAGUAAAGACUUGGCUUGUGCUCGGCAUGGUACCACCGAUAUCGGGCUAAACUUCACAAGUGCCAACGACAACGUUGAACUUGCCGCUGCGGCGUAAUCCGUAAGCGCGGUCCGGGGGGAACCGGGCAACAGAACUCCCCCCACU